UACGAAGGGAGCUAGCGUUGUUCGGAAUUACUGGGCGUAAAGGGUGCGUAGGUGGUUCUAUAAGUGAGAUGUGAAAGCCCCGGGCUCAACCUGGGAAAGGCAUUUCAUACUGUAGGACUUGGUGUGCGAGAGGGGAAAGUGGAAUGGCGAGUGGAGCAGUGAAAUGCGUUGAUAUUCGUUGGAACACCAGAGGCGAAGGCGGCUUUCUGGCUCGUAACAGACACUAAAGCACGAAAGCGUGGGGAGCAAACAGG
rnacentral:rRNA from 1 species